GACGAACGCUGGCGGCGUGCUUAACACAUGCAAGUCGAAUGAAGUGGCGAACGGGUGAGUAACGCGUAAUCAACCUGCCCUUCAGAGGGGGACAACAGUUGGAAACGAUUGCUAAUACCCCAUAGUGAAGGAGGGGAUUGCGUCUGAUUAGCUAGUUGGAGGGGUAACGGCCCACAAAGGCGAUGAGCAGUAGCCGGUCUGGGAGGGUGAACGGCCCCGUUGGGACUGGGAAACGGCCCAGACGCCUACGGGAGGCAGCAGUGGGGAAUCUUCCGCAAUGGACGAAAGUCUGACGGAGCAACGCCGCGUGAGUGAUGACGGCCUUCGGGUUGUAAAGCUCUGUUAAUCGGGACGCGGUACCGGAAUAGAAAGCCACGGCUAACUACGUGCCAGCAGCCGCGGUAAUAC
rnacentral:rRNA from 1 species